CCCGGGUUAGUUUAGUUGGCAGAGCGCUCCGCUGGAAAUGGAGAGGUCCCGGGUUGGAUACCCGGACCAGGCG
rnacentral:tRNA from 2 species